AGGAACUAGAGUAGGUAGAGAAAGACCUGGCAAAGGUGGAUAGAGUGGUGGAGGAGGUAGAAGUAGGUGUUGAAAAGGGCCAGAUCAACGGACUCAGAGGGACUCGUGGAAAGGUGGCAGAUGGAGUAAAGGAGGAAGAAGAAGCUAGAGGGCUGGGGCUGUUAGAUGAGCCAGUUCAAGGAGAUCCCAAGUUUACCAAAGGGGCUAUUUUAGUCCUAAUUUGUCUUUUGUAAAUAAUUCACCAUUUCUGAAGACAUUUAACUGAAUUAGUGCUGUAAAGCAAAUAUAGUCAGAGCAAAAGCAUAUGAUAGCAAAGCAUAUAGUCAGUGGGAGAAGGUGCCUGAAAGAGAAUUACUGAAGGGAUUAACAGAUAGUUAAAUCAAAGGGAUGGGGAAACUUUAAAGCUGGGGAGGAAUCCCACUUGGUUAUUUCCUCACAGGAUCCCCAGAUCCAAGAGCCAAGGAACCCCUCUGAAAAUCGUGGGGUCAAAGGAGAGAUUCCCCUGCAUGCCCCCAGGUGUGAGAAGCCAGAGAAAAUCAGAAGAGGCCUCACGAGGAGAUACAUUUUCUUAAG
rnacentral:lncRNA from 1 species